UCUAAUUAUUGUUUGAUCUCCUCACCCAUCUCUCUGUAAUAGAAAACACCUUGUACCAUAUAGGUUUUGGAUCUACGAUCAAUCAGUUAACAAUAGACCAAUCUAUCACUGAGCUACUGAGGAACAACAGGAGAUUCGAUAAGUUAAGAUUAUAUUGAGCAAACGAGCUACGCAGACAUGCUGGAUCUAGCAGUGCAGCACAUUCGAACCCUUCAAGAUCAGGUUCAGAAUCUGAAUACAGAACUUGAAAACUGCAAAUGUGGAUGUAAGAAAUCAAGUCAAUAAUAAAAUGGAAGGAAGCACUUUAGCUGAAGAUCGACUUAAAAGGAUUUUUGUCACCAUGAUUUUGCCUCUUAGAAACUCAAAUUUGUACAUAAGGAAGUAAAUUUCAUACUAGUUUUUUAAAGCUAAAAGGCGAACUCUCUUUGUUUUUUUUUUUUGUUUUUUUUUUCCUUUUCCAGUUAGAAGACUACGUAUAUGAUUGUUUUGGAUUAUUUCUAGUUUUUUUUUUUCCAUCUAACAUUUACAUUUUUAAUUUAGUUUUGAGUUUAUUUUGGUUGCAGAUCAUAAAGCUAAUUGAUGAUGUUGUACAACAACUUUCUCUAUUUCAUUUUUAUGUAAAAUGAGUGGGCAAGACAUUUUCUUGCUUUCUGUUAUGUU